rnacentral:rRNA from 7 species
CGGGGAGGUAGUGACGAAAAAUAACGAUACGGGACUCAUCCGAGGCCCCGUAAUCGGAAUGAGUACACUUUAAAUCCUUUAACAAGGACCAAUUGGAGGGCAAGUCUGGUGCCAGCAGCCGCGGUAAUUCCAGCUCCAAUAGCGUAUAUUAAAGUUGUUGCGGUUAAAAAGCUCGUAGUUGAAUCUGUGUGUCACAGUGUCGGUUCACCGCUCGCGGUGUCUAACUGGCAUUAUGUGGUACGUCCUACCGGUGGGCUUAGCUCCUUGCGGGCGGUCCAACUAAUCUCCCAUCGCGGUGCUCUUCACUGAGUGUCGAGGUGGGCCGGUACGUUUACUUUGAACAAAUUAGAGUGCUCAAAGCAGGCUACCUUCGCCUGAAUACUGCGUGCAUGGAAUAAUGGAAUAGGACCUCGGUUCUAUUUUGUUGGUUUUCGGAACCCCGAGGUAAUGAUUAAUAGGGACAGAUGGGGGCAUUCGUAUUGCGACGUUAGAGGUGAAAUUCUUGGAUCGUCGCAAGACGGACUAAAGCGAAAGCAUUUGCCAAAAAUGUUUUCAUUAAUCAAGAACGAAAGUUAGAGGUUCGAAGGCGAUCAGAUACCGCCCUAGUUCUAACCAUAAACGAUGCCAGCUAGCGAUCCGCCGAAGUUCCUCCGAUGACUCGGCGGGCAGCUUCCGGGAAACCAAAGCUUUUGGGUUCCGGGGGAAGUAUGGUUGCAAAGCUGAAACUUAAAGGAAUUGACGGAAGGGCACCACCAGGAGUGGAGCCUGCGGCUUAAUUUGACUC